UCUUCCGCAAUGGACGCAAGUCUGACGGAGCAACGCCGCGUGAGUGAUGAAGGUUUUCGGAUCGUAAAACUCUGUUGUUGGGGAAGAACAAGUACCGCUCGAAUAGGUCGGUACCUUGACGGUACCUAACCAGAAAGCCACGGCUAACUACGUGCCAGCAGCCGCUGUAAGACGUAGUGGGCACGCGUUAUCAGGAAUUAUUGGGCGUAAAGCGCGCGCAGGCGUUUUCUUAAGUCUGAUGUGAAAGCCAACGGCUCAACCGUGGAGGGUCAUUGGAAACUGGGGAACUUGAGUGCAGAAGAGGAGAGUGGAAUUCCAUGUGUAGCGGUGAAAUGCGUAGAGAUAUGGAGGAACACCAGUGGCGAAGGCGACUCUCUGGUCUGCAACUGACGCUGAGGCGCGAAAGCGUGGGGAGCAAACA
rnacentral:rRNA from 1 species